CCCUUAGAUGUUCGGGGCCGCACGCGCGCUACACUGAAGGACUCAGCGUGUCUCUCCCCCUAUCCCGAAAGGGAUGGGCAACCCGUUGAACCUCCUCCGUGCUAGGGAUUGGGGUUUGCAAUUAUCCCCCAUGAACGAGGAAUUCCCAGUAAGCGCGAGUCAUCAGCUCGCGUUGAUUACGUCCCUGCCCUUUGUACACACCGCCCGUCGCUACUACCGAUUGGAUGGUUUAGUGAGACCCUCGGAUCGGUCCCGACUCGGGGUGGGCUUCUGCCCCGGUCGUGGUUUCGCCGAGAAGACGGUCAAACUUGACUAUCUAGAGGAAGUAAAAGUCGUAACA
rnacentral:rRNA from 1 species